UACGUAGGGUGCGAGCGUUGUCCGGAAUUAUUGGGCGUAAAGAGCUCGUAGGCGGUGUGUCGCGUCGGCCGUGAAAACCUGGGGCUCAACUCUGGGCGUGCGGUCGAUACGGGCAUCACUGGAGUUCGGCAGGGGAGACUGGAAUUCCUGGUGUAGCGGUGAAAUGCGCAGAUAUCAGGAGGAACACCGGUGGCGAAGGCGGCAUCCUGGACCAACACUGACACUGAGGAGCGAAAGCCAGGGGAGCAAACGGG
rnacentral:rRNA from 1 species